rnacentral:rRNA from 1 species
AGAGCGAACGCUGGCGGCAGGCCUAACACAUGCAAGUCGAGCGGCCGUAGCAAUACGGCAGCGGCAGACGGGAGAGUAACACGUGGGAACGUGCCCUAUGGUUCGGAAUAACGCAGGGAAACUUGCGCUAAUACCGAAUAAGCCCUUACGGGGAAAGAUUUAUCGCCAUUGGAGCGGCCCGCGUCUGAUUAGCUAGUUGGUGAGGUAACGGCUCACCAAGGCUACGAUCAGUAGCUGGUCUGAGAGGAUGAUCAGCCUCACUGGGACUGAGACACGGCCCAGACUCCUACGGGAGGCAGCAGUGGGGAAUAUUGGACAAUGGGCGCAAGCCUGAUCCAGCCAUGCCGCGUGGAUGAUGAAGGCCUUAGGGUUGUAAAGUCCUUUUAAACGGGAAGAUAAUGACGGUACCCGUAGAAUAAGCCCCGGCUAAACUUCGUGCCAGCAGCCGC